rnacentral:rRNA from 1 species
CCUACGGGAGGCAGCAGUGAGGAAUAUUGGUCAAUGGACGAGAGUCUGAACCAGCCAAGUAGCGUGAAGGAUGACUGCCCUAUGGGUUGUAACUUCUUUUUUAUGGGAAUUAAAUGUUUCAAGUGUGGGUGUUUGGAUGUAACAAUUGAAUAAGGAUCGGCUAACUCCGGGCCAGCAGCCGCGGUAAUACGGAGGAUCCGAGAGUUAUCCGGAUUUAUUGGGUUUAAAGGGAGCGUAGGUGGAUUGUUAAGUCAGUUGUGAAAGUUUGCGGGUCAACCGUAAAAUUGCAGUUGAAAAUGGCAGUCUUGAGUACAGUAGAGGUGGGCGGAAUUCGUGGUGUAGCGGUGAAAUGCUUAGAUAUCACGAAGAACUCCGAUUGCGAAGGCAGCUCACUGGACUGCAACUGACACUGAGGCUCGAAAGUGUGGGUAUCAAACAGGAUUAGAUACCCUGGUAGUC